rnacentral:rRNA from 1 species
CUAUACAUGCAAGUCGAGCGAACAGAUAAGGAGCUUGCUCCUUUGACGUUAGCGGCGGACGGGUGAGUAACACGUGGGUAACCUACCUAUAAGACUGGGAUAACUUCGGGAAACCGGAGCUAAUACCGGAUAAUAUUUCGAACCGCAUGGUUCGAUAGUGAAAGAUGGUUUUGCUAUCACUUAUAGAUGGACCCGCGCCGUAUUAGCUAGUUGGUAAGGUAACGGCUUACCAAGGCGACGAUACGUAGCCGACCUGAGAGGGUGAUCGGCCACACUGGAACUGAGACACGGUCCAGACUCCUACGGGAGGCAGCAGUAGGGAAUCUUCCGCAAUGGGCGAAAGCCUGACGGAGCAACGCCGCGUGAGUGAUGAAGGUCUUCGGAUCGUAAAACUCUGUUAUUAGGGAAGAACAUACGUGUAAGUAACUGUGCACGUCUUGACGGUACCUAAUCAGAAAGCCACGGCUAACUACGUGCCAGCAGCCGCGGUAAUACGUAGGUGGCAAGCGUUAUCCGGAAUUAUUGGGCGUAAAGCGCGCGUAGGCGGUUUUUUAAGUCUGAUGUGAAAGCCCACGGCUCAACCGUGGAGGGUCAUUGGAAACUGGAAAACUUGAGUGCAGAAGAGGAAAGUGGAAUUCCAUGUGUAGCGGUGAAAUGCGCAGAGAUAUGGAGGAACACCAGUGGCGAAGGCGACUUUCUGGUCUGUAACUGACGCUGAUGUGCGAAAGCGUGGGGAUC